rnacentral:rRNA from 1 species
AGCAGCCGCGGUAAUUCCAGCUCCAAUAGCGUAUAUUAAAGUUGUUGCAGUUAAAAAGCUCGUAGUUGAAUUUCGGGAUUCGACCAUUGGUCAGGCUUAACUGUCUGUACUGGUGUGUCGGAUUUCUACCUUCUGAAGAACCUUCAUGCCAUUAAUUUGGUGUGUUGGGGAAUCAGGACUGUUACUUUGAAAAAAUUAGAGUGUUUAAAGCAGGCUAACGUCUGAAUACAUUAGCAUGGAAUAAUGAAAUAGGACGGUACGGUUCUAUUUUGUUGGUUUCUAGGAUCGCCGUAAUGAUUAAUAGGGAUAGUUGGGGGCAUUAGUAUUCAAUUGUCAGAGGUGAAAUUCUUGGAUUUAUUGAAGACUAACUACUGCGAAAGCAUUUGUCAAGGAUGUUUUCAUUAAUCAAGAACGAAAGUUAGGGGAUCGAAGACGAUCAGAUACCGUCGUAGUCUUAACCAUAAACUAUGUCGACUAGGGAUUGGACGAUGUUAAUUUUUUAAUGACUCG